rnacentral:rRNA from 1 species
UGGGGAAUCUUGCGCAAUGGGGGAAACCCUGACGCAGCGACGCCGCGUGAGUGAUGAAGGCCUUCGGGUUGUAAAGCUCUGUGGGGAGAGACGAAUAAGUGUAGCCUAAUACGCUGCGCGAUGACGGUAUCUCCUUAGCAAGCACCGGCUAACUCUGUGCCAGCAGCCGCGGUAAGACAGAGGGUGCAAACGUUGUUCGGAAUUACUGGGCGUAAAGCGAGUGUAGGCGGUUGCGUAAGUCGGAUGUGAAAGCCCCGGGCUCAACUCGGGAAGUGCACUCGAUACUGCGCAGCUAGAGUACUGGAGAGGUUGGUGGAAUUCUCGGUGUAGAGGUGAAAUUCGUAGAUAUCGAGAGGAACACCGGUGGCGAAGGCGGCCAACUGGACAGAUACUGACGCUGAGACUCGAAAGCGUGGGGAGCAAACAGGAUUAGAUACCCCGGUAGUCC